rnacentral:rRNA from 1 species
AAAUUGAAGAGUUUGAUCAUGGCUCAGAUUGAACGCUGGCGGCAGGCCUAACACAUGCAAGUCGAACGGUAACAGGAAGCAGCUUGCUGCUUUGCUGACGAGUGGCGGACGGGUGAGUAAUGUCUGGGAAACUGCCUGAUGGAGGGGGAUAACUACUGGAAACGGUAGCUAAUACCGCAUAACGUCGCAAGACCAAAGAGGGGGACCUUCGGGCCUCUUGCCAUCGGAUGUGCCCAGAUGGGAUUAGCUUGUUGGUGGGGUAACGGCUCACCAAGGCGACGAUCCCUAGCUGGUCUGAGAGGAUGACCAGCCACACUGGAA